CUGGGCUCGCGCGGCAGCGACCGUUUGAAUGCUGGGCGGGGCGGCCUGGUUGGGAGAAGCGUUGCUGACAGAGGUCCAGCGAGCGCAGGGAAAGAUACCAGCUGUCAUUCCCACCCUUGAAUCAAACGUAAGCAUCAUGCUACUGCAGCCUGUGGCUGCAGUAAACACUGUGGAAGAGCAGAGGGCUCGCUGGGAGAGGAAACGUAGCCAGACAGCCAAGGAACUGGUGGAAACGGAGCAGAAAUACCUGGAGCAGCUGGACUUGGUUACCACAUAUUUUGUGACAAUUCUGAAGGCCAAAGGGACACUGAAGCCAGCUGUGCGGGAAGGCAUCUUCGGGCUCCUGGAAUCCAUAUAUUGCACCAGCCAGAUUCUGCUGCUUCACUUGGAGAGAGGGCACUUGGGGCUAGGAUUGGAGGGUUUCUGUCAGAAGCUGGAGCUCUAUGGCCACUAUGCUGAAAACUUGGAGCAAGCUAAGAAAACCCUGCAGGAGCAGGUGAAGAAGAAUAAGGCAUUUUGCCGGUUUAAGAAGCUUCAAGAAUCUCGACCUGAGUUCCUGGGAUGGCAGUUGGAGGAUCUGCUCCCUCUGCCACUGCAGAGGCUCCAUCAAUACAAGCACAUGUUCAGAGACCUGAUGGAGAACACCAGCCCGGAUAGUGUGGAGUUCCAAUACCUUGCAAAAGCUGUGAAAUCUGUUUCUGACGUGUCUCAGUGGGUCCACAGCACAAUUCGCAGCCAUGAGAACUCAAUGCAACUGCUUCGGGUCCAGAAACUUCUCAAAGGACAGAAGACCAAGGUGCUGACUCCAGAGCGCUGGUAUAUCCAAGAAGGCUGGCUCAUGGUGGUGCCCACAAAGGGUGAAGAAGUGAAGCGUAAGAUGUUCUUCCUCUUCUCCGAUAUCUUGGUUGCGACGAAGCCCUGCCACCCACUGCAUCCCCUGAAUUCAGACAAGUUUUCUUGCCAGGCAGUCUAUCCACUUAGCCAGUGCACAGUGGACAAAGUGUUUGGCCAUACCCAGAGCCAAGGAGGGCUGCUCAGUGUAAGUUUCUCUCAGUUUCUGGCUGCAGCUCCUACAGCCCUCAUUUCCAACCUCUCCCCCCCCCCCCCCCCCAACACAUCCUGAUCUAAAAUAGAAUUAAUGUGAGAGAGGAUAGUGGGUGUAAUUGACCCCUGUGGUUGAGGCAGUGAUGGGGAGAGCUAAGGUGAGUCUCUUAAUUGCUGCAGGAGCAGCAGACUAGAAAGGCUAGAUUGUACUAGGGAGGCUUCACUGCAGGUGGAAGAGUGAGGGAGUGAAGAGCCCAUAUCACCUCUGUGGGAGGCACAGUUCCUCUCUGACCUCCCUGGUGUGCAGCCUGCUCCCACUACUGUACUUGGUUUGCUCAGGGUAGCGGCAUGGCCCCUUGACCCCUUAGGAGUGCACAGAGGAAGCAGUGCCUGGGCUCUGCUCAUUGUGCUGUUCCUGUGCAUCCACAAAGAGGCUACUUCCAAACUGGUCCCAAGGCAGCAUGGUAAGUAAAAGGCAACAGAGUGGUCACUAGGGCUUUGGCUCAUCUGAAAUCCUGCCGGAUAACAAGUGGAGAGAUUCUUUGGAUCUGUUGCCAAGGGUGGAGCUUCUCCUCCUGGCUGCUUUUCUUCCCCCAUGUCUUCUCAGUGAAGGAUCUGCCUUUUGGCUGCAAGGACUUCUCCUGUUAGGGGUUAUAAUACCUUGGAUAGAAACAUCCCAAACGUCAUUUGAAGUGCCUACAGUUAGAAAAACGUCUCCCAACUUGUCCUAAUAAUGCUAAAGCAAAUUGCUCUAUUUACAUUUAAACUAAGACCCUAUGCUGCCACUUAUAGUUACUUCUGAGAAGAGAGCCACAUUAAAAUGCAGUACAGGGAGUGAGGUCUCCUGGGCCCUACUGGAUUCACCGCAGACUUGCUCGGUGAUCUUGAGCAAUAGGCUUCCUUUGUGGGCUAGUUUCUCAAUCUAUAAGGUAAAUCUGUAAAUGAAGACGCCCCUAUGCUGAGAGGAGAGCUUUUCCUGUCAGCGUAGUUAGCUACCCCUUCUUGGGGCUGGCCUACACUAUGGGGGAAAAUCGAUCUCAGAUACGCAACUUCAGCUAUGUGAAUAACGUAGCUGAAGUCGAAGUAUCUAAGAUCGAAUUACCGUCCUCAUGGCGCGGGAUCGAUGUCCACAGCUCCCCGUGUCGAUUCCGCAACUCCGUUCGG